rnacentral:rRNA from 1 species
UAGGGAAUCUUCGGCAAUGGACGAAAGUCUGACCGAGCAACGCCGCGUGAGUGAAGAAGGUUUUCGGAUCGUAAAACUCUGUUGUUAGAGAAGAACAAGGACGUUAGUAACUGAACGUCCCCUGACGGUAUCUAACCAGAAAGCCACGGCUAACUACGUGCCAGCAGCCGCGGUAAUACGUAGGUGGCAAGCGUUGUCCGGAUUUAUUGGGCAUAAAGCGAGCGCAGGCGGUUUCUUAAGUCUGAUGUGAAAGCCCCCGGCUCAACCGGGGAGGGUCAUUGGAAACUGGGAGACUUGAGUGCAGAAGAGGAGAGUGGAAUUCCAUGUGUAGCGGUGAAAUGCGUAGAUAUAUGGAGGAACACCAGUGGCGAAGGCGUCUCUCUGGUCUGUAACUGACGCUGAGGCUCGAAAGCGUGGGGAGCAAACAGG